rnacentral:rRNA from 1 species
AUUCCAGCUCCAAUAGCGUAUAUUAAAGUUGUUGCAGUUAAAAAGCUCGUAGUUGGAUUUCUGAUAGGGAGCCGAUCACCACUGUUGUGAGUGUUAGGUACCUGUCAUCCUUCUGUUAACCCCUGCGGCAUUCAUUUGUCGUUGGGCGGACCAGAUACUUUACCUUGAGAAAAUUAGAGUGUUUCAGGCAGGCCUAGCCGGAAUACAUUAGCAUGGAAUAAUGGAAUAGGACUAUAGUCUCGUCGUUGGUUACGUGGACUGCAGUAAUGAUUAAGAGGGACAGUCGGGGGCAUUCGUAUUUCAUUGUCAGAGGUGAAAUUCUCAGACCAGCGGAAGACGAACCACUGCGAAAGCAUUUGCCAGGGAUGUUUUCAUUG